rfam:Triticum aestivum genome assembly, contig: Triticum_aestivum_CS42_TGACv1_scaffold_020660_1AS
AAGAUACUCCCUCCGUCCGGAAAUACUUGUCCUUGAAAUGAUUGUAUCUAGACUUAUUUUAGUUAUAGAUACAUCCAUUUACAACCAUUUUGAAGACAAGUAUUUCAGGACGGAGGGAGUAUAAG